GACGUUUCAUAUCUUCGGUUCAUUCAAUGCUAUGAAGACAAAAAUACCACGUUCGAUUCAGUGUACCAAUAUGUCCUCAUUCAUAGCGAUAGUUUUAGUCGAUGUCAACAUUAUAGCGAUUUAUGAGCUUUGAAAGUCAAGCGAGUUCGUGUAUUAUCAAAUUACGCAAUUGUCUGAACAAUAAUAUAGGACUAGCCAUACCUUUCGCCGAACAUAACUUCGGCCCCUUCGGACGUAACUUUGUAAUAGUCUUGUUCCAAUCGCUAUCAAAAACACUACUUAGAGUGUCAUUUACAAGGGCAUAUUGUAAACACUGGACUGGACUAUGGACUUUGGACUAUGGACUUUGGACUUUGGACUCGAGCCUGUAUCUUCAAAUCUGCACUUUUAUCACGGUAUCACAUCUAUGCCAUCACUCGAUAUAUCGGUAUCAAUUACGAAAAUAACAAUAGUUUAUAUUAUAAAUACGGCAACAGUAACUUCUAUAAUUAGCACUAAUUAUUCUAAUUCUUUACUCCUGUCAAUCAAAAAUUCAGAAUCAACAUUCUGACCAAUCAGAAUGCUCCGGCACCCAGCUGCCGGGGAGAACUCAGAAUGUGUAGUUUUUGGACAGGCGGUAUUUCUAGCUUCCCAUUCUCUCGUGCCCGCGAAUACCGCCUGCUACGCAGGCUAGUUUUGUAUCUGUUCGUGCUAGUCGUUCUAUAGCUCUAUAAAAUGCCUCGUCCGAUAAUUAUCUGUCAUCGUGAAUACACUUCGUUGACUAUUUUAAUACCGUGGCACCAGCUUACAUAACUCUUUAAACGUGCAGUAACGAACCAAGCUUAUUUGAACAUGUGAUUGUAUGAAAGAUCUUAUUCACUAGCCG